CCAAGGUCUAGCACAUCGCCUUUUCUGUCAGCUGGGAGCUGGGACACAGCUGGCCUGGCCCUUCCCCAUCAUUAGCAAUUGUCAUGUAUUCAGUAGUUCCUUUAUUGUCAAAUACCUCCUGAGUGCCUUGCUAGUGUUCUAGGCUAGAGAUAGUGUGACCAAGUGGAACAAUGUCUCUUGCCUAACAGUGCUUACCUUCUAUAGAAAGAAAGGCACACAAUGGGCAUGUAAACAAAAGAGACGAUUUUUAGAUAACAUAUAAAUGCUGUGAAGAAAAGAAUGAAGAUAAUGAGACAGAGUGACAAGAACUCUGGAAGGAGAUAAUAUUGAGCAGAGGCCAUGGAACAGUGGAGCAGAGGUGAAGGGAACCCAGGACCAAGGGCUGAAGCCAUGGCUGGCCAAGCUGGCUGCAGGACAAGCAGCUGGGAAGAGAAAGCCCACCUACGUACUGAAAAUACAACUGACAUUGGUAACAGAACUGAGCGAGGCAUUGUGCAGAUUGUUUUAAGUGCAUUAUCUCAAUAAUCAACAUAACAACUCCAGAAAGUUACUGGAUCUUGCUGUGACUGAUACUACUACAGAAGAGGAGGAACAAAUGUUCUCAAUUUCCUUCUGUAUAAAGAGUUUGCACCACAAGACUUGUCCCUGCCAUUUGCCAUUCCUGUAUCACUAUCCUCCAAAGACUCCUGUGGAGCAAUGCAACCAUCCUAUGUUCAAAGUGACUUCUUUGGGUCAAGGAUCCUUGAAUAAUGAGGAGAGACUGACCGCAUGGAUGAGAACUGUGGAUUUGGACAUCUGCUGGGCUGUUGACGUCUUUGACACUUGCAGGACUGGUCUAAGGUAAAAGUUCCACUAACACUAAGGACGAAGCGUUCCCUCCAGUCCUUAGAUGUGGCCCGAUAUGCAAAGUCUGAGUGACUAAAAGAGAA
rnacentral:lncRNA from 1 species